rnacentral:SRP_RNA from 1 species
GCUGGGCAUGGUGGCGCAUGCCUGUAAUUCCAGCUACUCGGGAGGCUGAGGUGGAAGGAUUGCUUGAGCCUAGGAGUUUGAGACUACAGUGAGCUAUGAUCAUGCCACUACACUCCAGCCUGGGCAAUAGAGCAAGACCCUGUCUCAA